GAUGAACGCUGGCGGCGUGCCUAAUACAUGCAAGUCGAGCGAACAGACGAGGAGCUUGCUCCUCUGACGUUAGCGGCGGACGGGUGAGUAACACGUGGAUAACCUACCUAUAAGACUGGGAUAACUUCGGGAAACCGGAGCUAAUACCGGAUAAUAUAUUGAACCGCAUGGUUCAAUAGUGAAAGACGGUUUUGCUGUCACUUAUAGAUGGAUCCGCGCCGCAUUAGCUAGUUGGUAAGGUAACGGCUUACCAAGGCAACGAUGCGUAGCCGACCUGAGAGGGUGAUCGGCCACACUGGAGCUGAGACACGGUCCAGACUCCUACGGGAGGCAGCAGUAGGGAAUCUUCCGCAAUGGGCGAAAGCUUGACGGAGCAACGCCGCGUGAGUGAUGAAGGUCUUCGAAUCGUAAAACUCUGUUAUUAGGGAAGAACAAAUGUGUAAGUAACUAUGCACGUCUUGACGGUACCUAAUCAGAAAGCCACGGCUAACUACGUG
rnacentral:rRNA from 1 species